rnacentral:rRNA from 1 species
GACAGAGGUGCCAAGCGUUAGGCGGAAUCACUGGGCUUAAAGCGUGUGUAGGCGGAUUUCUAAGUACCUUGUGAAAUCCCACGGCUUAACCGUGGAACUGCUGGGUAUACUGGGUGUCUUGAGCCACUCAGGGGCUACCGGAACAAACGGUGGAGCGGUGAAAUGCGUUGAGAUCCACAGGAACUCCGGUGGCGAAGGCGGCGUGCUGGACCCGUCCUGACGCUGAGGCGCGAAAGCCAGGGGAGCGAACGGG